rnacentral:rRNA from 1 species
UACGUAGGGUGCAAGCGUUGUCCGGAAUUAUUGGGCGUAAAGAGCUCGUAGGCGGUUUGUUGCGUCGGCUGUGAAAUCCCGAGUCUCAACCUCGGGUCUGCAGUCGAUACGAGCAAACUAGAGUGUUGCAGGGGAGACUGGAAUUCCUGGUGUAGCGGUGAAAUGCGCAGAUAUCAGGAGGAACACCGGUGGCGAAGGCGGGUCUCUGGGCAACAACUGACGCUGAGGAGCGAAAGCGUGGGGAGCGAACAGG